AGAGUCCUACUCGGAAGCGAAGGCCCAAGUUCUAUACUACGGCGGUUUAUGUAGCUUAAGCGGGACUUU
rnacentral:ncRNA from 1 species